CGACGAUAUAUUUGGCAGUAAAAUGGGUAGGAAACCCACAUGCUAUAUUCCUGAUCAAAGCAGUACUCCGAGCCCUCUAUCCACUCAACUUCUGGCCAGAUGAUCUUUAGAAUCCAUGGUGCUUCCGAAAACUGUGAAGUUGUCUCACUCCCUUCUGCCCCCACCAGUUUGAAAGGAUUAAGAAAAAGAAAGAAAAGCAGGGUGGCUUGGCAUGUUUUUUCCCAUGCCCAAACGUAAUUGGGUGAUACUUGUUAAAUUUGUGGCUCGAGUUUUUGAUUCAUGGACCUAGAUUUGGCUUGGGAUUGACUCAUUUAAUUGCAUGGACCAAAUACACAACUUGAAGAAUGUUUGAGUAUUGUACAGGGUUGGCUGUUCAGUGAAGCAACUGUGGACACCUGAAGAAGCCACGAUAGUUACUAGGCAAAUCCUAGGAGUCUGGCCACAAUGGUCCAGUUGUUUAGGAGGUUAACAAAAAGUUGGCAGAUCUCUGCUCAUGACUUUAUAUUCUUUUAACAAUGAUUCUGCAACUCAUAUUUUUAUAUAUUUUUGUUGCUGAGGUAUAUUUGGG
rnacentral:lncRNA from 1 species